GGAAAAAGGCCAGCUCUUGAGGGAAUGCAGCUGAUAAACAGCACUGUUCCUGCAUGGCAACAGAUCACUGUAGUCCUAUGCAAGCCAAGAUUGAUGAGGCAUACUCAGUAAAUCCAAUAACCAUAAUGGAGUCAAUGGGAGACUGCAUCAACAGGAUGGACACACAAACAAUGUGCAAAAGACAACAAACUGUGCAAAUACAAAAGAAUAAUAAUAACAAUAAGCAAUAAAUAUCAAGAAAAUGAGAUGGAGGAGUCCUUGAAAGUGGGAACAGCUCAAUGAUAGGGCACUCUCAAUGGAACAAAGAAAUACAAUAGAAUCUAUGAAAGGCAACAAACAAAGACUGAUAAACAACCAAUGUGCAAAAGAAGACAAUCUGUGCAAAGACAAAAAAAAAUAAAAAAUUAAUAUUGAGAAUACGAU